UCCAACUGGCCUAAUCCUUAGAUAUAUUUUAUAAAAGUAAACAAAUACAGCAACUCAUUUUUUAUACAUUGCUAAUCCUCUUUGUAAAACCUCACUGACGGUGUUUUUCCAUGAAUCUGCCGUAUUGCGUCCGGCAGAUUCUGUGUGUUGCAAUUUGCAGAUGUAGGCCUAUUGCCCAAUACAAAAGAUAUUUUGUAGUAUUCUGUCUCGAAUUCUGUUGUGUUAAAUUGUUUAAACGUAUCCAAGGAUCCCCUGAGAAGGGAAAGAGACCAUAUAAGGUCGACAUGUUGUGGAAAAGUAAGCCUGCGUAAAGAACAACGUUCUUAAUUUCACAUCACACUAUCAGAUGGUGUGAUUAUGUUUUAUGGUUUUACAACCUCACUCAAGAACAGUGUUGCAAAACUAUGCUGACUGAAAACACCCGUCAUCAUAAACUGGCCUGCUACUUUUGCAUUCAAAUGUGUUCCUUUCUUUAACAACAUAGACCUAUAUAAUAAAGUGCCAAAUCACAUGACUAGUACAUUAUUUGUAUCUAGGCUGCAUAAAAACAUUGGUAAAUUGCAAAAAAAUUAAAUAUCCCUGUACAAGCUAACCACAACAACCAAACUGUAGCUUUCCUCACUUCCCCUUUCGUUCUCGAAUGAAUUCAUGGGUGCCAGUAGUAAGCUGUUCACAUGGACGCAGCACUUGACUUAUAUAAAAAAAACCGACAAGCGACAAUAUAUAUUUAUGUGGGAUUGUUUUCUUGUUUGAUGUUGCCAAAGAUGUUCUCUGAGUAAUAACACAGGACUUGAUACUGCACAUAGCCGGAGUGGAGGGUAAUCAUUAUUGUGGCUUUAAUACUUUUGCCUGUUGAGUAUCAUGGCGACUUACUAUUGACUUUACUCGACUAAACUAGCCCUUCGAGAUGUCAUGACUUGUACAUUUUUAUAAUCCAUUUUAAUCCUAUUCAAUAACAACAUCCAAGCGGGACAGAAGUCAAAAGGCACAGCGAACACUAGACUAACUGAAACCAUUUCUACUCAGAGCUCUACCACAGCUCAGUACAGUUAAAGCACAGAAGGUAGUUUCUGUUCUUGUUUCUGAAUUCAUGAGAAGUACGGGGAGACAUUUCCCUCAGUUAUUUUGUGCUUGGUCAUCAAAGUGAGAAUAGCGUCUGGCGGUCUUGUGUUUAGGUGUAAAUGCAGAGUCAUGGUCUGCUGACGAUUUUUGCUUUGUCAUAGCUGUGACUCUGCACUUUUGUGGCACACAGGCCAUCCUGUUGGAUCGUGUCGGUGUGUCUGUGUGUGCGUGUCGAGUAAAGAGUAAGAACAAAAUGCUGUACUUUGAUUGCGGCCUCCACUGCGUUGCGGACGUCCUUCCUGCCUCCGUCCGGGCAGUAGGCCAGCACGCUGGCGCCAUCUGGUGUCUGCACCGCAACACUGCCUCCAGACUCGGACUUGCACGACUUGCCCGCGACAAACUGCCGGUAGAACUUGGGGGCACUAAGGGAGGAGAAAUGAAUGAAUGAAUGAAUGAAUAAAAGAAAGGGAGAAAGAAAACAGUUAUGGAUUCAGCAGAUCAUCUAACUGAAGAGACUGUACAGGGGAAGUAACAAACACACACACACACACACACACACACACACACACACACACACACACACACACACACACACACACACACACACACACACACACACACACACACACACACACACACACACACACACACACACACACACACACACACACACACAC